rnacentral:misc_RNA from 1 species
GUUAGUAUCGUACAAACAUUGUGGCAGGGAGACCAAGCAUCCUGAAUAAUAUCCAUGCAUAGUGUGCCAUCAUUAUAAACAUUAGGAUGAAACAUCUCCGACGUAAACCGCACCCGAGGGGGCUUCGCCGGAUAAUUAUCCCCGAACGUCAGCCUCAGCCCGAACACCCCGCCUUCCCACGCAGUCUCGUCCGGCCCAAAUAUUGUCGCGCUCCACACGAACAAAUUCUCAUCGGACAUCGGGCUGGCGCUGCACCCCUCCGGGGGCUCGUUCCGGAUCGCCUUGAGAUCGGACAUGAGGCGGAGCUGGGCCGACGAUGCCAUGAAAGAG